rnacentral:tRNA from 1 species
AAGGGUAUAGCUCAGUGGUAGAGUUUGUGCUUAGUAUGCAUGAGGUCCUGGGUUCAAUCCCAGUACCUCCA